GAUGAACGCUAGCUACAGGCUUAACACAUGCAAGUCGAGGGGUAACGAGAGGGAAGCUUGCUUUCCUUGUCGACGACCGGCGCACGGGUGAGUAACGCGUAUCCAACCUGCCCCCAACUAAGGAAUAACCUUGCGAAAGUAAGACUAAUACCCUAUAAUUUCCUCAGAUGACAUCUGACGAGGAAUAAAGAUUUAUCGGUUGUGGAUGGGGAUGCGUCUGAUUAGCUUGUUGGCGGGGUAACGGCCCACCAAGGCAACGAUAAGUAGGGGUUCUGAGAGGAAGGUCCCCCACAUUGGGACUGAGACACGGUCCAAACUCCUACGGGAGGCCGCAGUGAGGAAUAUUGGUCAAUGGGCGGAAGCCUGAACCAGCCAAGUAGCGUGCAGAAUGACGGCCCUAUGGGUUGUAAACUGCUUUUAUACAGGAAUAAAGUUAGCCACGUGUGGUUAUUUGUAGGUACUGUAUGAAUAAGGACCGGCUAAUUCCGUGCCAGCCGCCGCGGUAA
rnacentral:rRNA from 1 species